rnacentral:rRNA from 1 species
AACGAACGCUGGCGGCGUGCCUAACACAUGCAAGUCGAACGAGAAAGGGGCUUCGGCUCCGAGUAAAGUGGCGCACGGGUGAGUAACACGUGGGUAACCUGCCUCUAAGAUUGGGACAACUCGUCGAAAGAUGAGCUAAUACCGAAUAAGACCACAGUUCCUGCGGGAACAGGGGUCAAAGGUAGCCUCUGCUUGCAAGCUAUCACUUAGAGAUGGGCCUGCGCACCAUAGCUAGUUGGUAGGGUAACGGCCUACCAAGGCAAGAUGGUUAGCUGGUCUGAGAGGAUGAUCAGCCACACUGGAACUGAGACACGGUCCAGACUCCUACGGAGGCAGCAGUGGGAAUAUUGCG